rnacentral:tRNA from 1 species
AGUAUUGUGCCUGAUUAAAGGAUAACAUUGAUAGUGUUAAUUAUACAGGUCUCCCCUGUCCUUACUU